GGAGUUAGCCGGUGCUUCUUCUGCGAGUAACGUCACAGAUGUAAGGUAUUAACUUACACCCUUUCCUCCUCGCUGAAAGUGCUUUACAACCCGAAGGCCUUCUUCACACACGCGGCAUGGCUGCAUCAGGGUUUCCCCCAUUGUGCAAUAUUCCCCACUGCUGCCUCCCGUAGGAGUCUGGGCCGUGUCUCAGUCCCAGUGUGGCUGAUCAUCCUCUCAGACCAGCUAGGGAUCGUCGCCUAGGUGAGCCUUUACCUCACCUACUAGCUAAUCCCACCUGGGCUUAUCCAUCAGCGCAAGGCCCGAAGGUCCCCUGCUUUCCCCCGUAGGGCGUAUGCGGUAUUAGCAGUCGUUUCCAACUGUUAUCCCCCACAAAUGGGCAAAUUCCCAGGCAUUACUCACCCGUCCGCCGCUCGUCAUCUUACAAAAGCAAGCUUUUGAAUGUUACCGCUCGACUUGCAUGUGUUAGGCCUGCCGCCAGCGUUCAAUCUGAGCCAGAAUCAAACUCUGA
rnacentral:rRNA from 1 species